CACGUAGGCGGUGAAUCGGGUUGAAAGUGAAAGUCGCCAAAAAGUGGCGGAAUGCUCUCGAAACCAAUUCACUUGAGUGAGACAGAGGAGAGUGGAAUUUCGUGUGUAGGGGUGAAAUCCGUAGAUCUACGAAGGAACGCCAAAAGCGAAGGCAGCUCUCUGGGUCCCUACCGCGCUGGGGUGCGAAAGCAUGGGGAGCGAACA
rnacentral:rRNA from 1 species